CUCUUCUUGUGUUAAAUAAGAAGUAGGCCCUGCCCGGUGCCUAUUAGGUAAACGGCGGCCUUAGCGUGAGGGUCUUAAGGUAGCAUGAUAAGUCGGCCUUUAAUUGGGGUCUGGUAUGAAUGGGUUGACGUUGGAUAAGCUGUCUCAUAUAGUAAAAUUGAAAUUAAUUUCAAAGUGAAGAAGCUUUGAUCUUAAAAAAAGACGACAAGACCCUAUGAAGCUUUAUCUUAAUUGUAUAAACCCACUUUUAUAUUAAAAGUGGGUUUAUAUAAAUGAUUUUGUUGGGAUAACAAGGUGGAAAUGUGCUGCCUAAUUUUGAUUUACUAACAUGUUUUGUCUUAAUAUAGUAAAAAUGACAAGCUACUCUAGGGAUAACAGCGCGAUCUUUUUCAAGAGUUCAAAUCGAAAAAAAGGUUUGCGACCUCGAUGUUGGCUUUAGGUUACCUGAAGGCGUAGAGGCUUUCAAGUGUGGGUCUGUUCGACCUUUAAUUCCUA
rnacentral:rRNA from 1 species